CCGCCCAAAGCCGACCCUACCUCUCCCUCUCCCUCGCGUCCGGCUCCUCGGUUCGUUCGUUCUUCGAUCCCAGGCGGUGAUGUUUUUAUUUUUUGGUGCGUUCAUGUCUGUGCAGGAUCCGCUCGUGCCCAAGGACUGGACAGGGGAGGCGCUCCCGGCCUCGGACGAAGAGAAAGGUUUUGCAGAGAGCACAUUGUCGAACCAGCAGAUGGCGAUGACACAGAUGAGGAGCUUAGGCGAGAGGCAACAUGGUGAAUCUAGUACAGGCAUCGUUGGCCAUCCUCUUCGAGGCUGUGUUUAGGUGAUUCCUCGGGUAGCCAUGACACUACUCUGGCUGAUUAGUACCCAGUGGCAUGUUUGUAAUAUUUACAGGGAUUUUACUUGUAGAAAUAAUGCUCAUGGUAUAUUUUUAUGUCCUGCAGCACAUGCUCUUUUUCGGUCUGUACGGAAUCUUGAUAUGGUGUUUUGGCAGCUGGGAUAUUAGAUUGCACUUCUUUAUGUGAUUUACUCAUGUUGGUACUGCUUGUUAAGUGAUUAUCUUUAUGCCCUUGCUACCAGUAGAAUGGUCUAUACAUGAUUGCUCUGUAACUUGUCUUUUCCGGAACAAUUUGCUUGGUCCUUCAUAUCUGACUAUGUAAUGUAGAAGCUCUACUUUAUCCUAACAGUUGCAUGUAGCAUUGUGCUACUAUCUGUGUGAUGCUAAACAAUAUGCUCUUAAUCUGUUGCUAUAUUCUCAAGUGUUUACCAUUUACAUUGUUUUUACAUUUGCUAUAUUCACAAAUAGUAGUAGUGUCUGGUCUAGAUAAGCAAACAAGUACUGUAGUAGUGUCUGGUCUGGAUAAGCAAACAAGGUAUGAUCUAUGCAGUUGUUGAUCUGAAUUGUUUGUUUCUGGGCGGUGUAGGAUGAGCUGCAGCAGGAUGACCUGUAGCGGAAGAACUUCGAGGGCAAGAUCAAGGAGAACCAGGAGAUGAUCACCGGUUACCUCAUCCUCGUCGGCAUGGUUGGCUCCUUUGGCACACCCCUCUUUGGCUCCCACCAACUUACUUUUGUCGCUGGCUAGCAGCAUUUCCAGGUGUUGCGUGUUCUGGAAGAUGGAAGAGGAAGAAAAUUUAUUUUUGUUGAACUAUUUUUUUGUAUUAUGUUUUGUUGUACAUAUGAUUUGAUAGUUUUGUAUAGGAACAUGUGAUACUAUUUUGUAGGGCUUUACAGCCUGUGAUGUAAACAUAUUUAGUGAUGAAUUAUGAAAUUAUUUGCAAAAUUUAUUGAAAAGGAGAAUCAUUUGUAUGAA